UCAGGAUGAACGCUGGCGGCGCGCCUAACACAUGCAAGUCGACGGUUAAAGCACCUCGGGUGUGUAUAGAGUGGCGAACGGCUGAGUAACACGUGGGCAACCUGCCCCUCGGCACCGGAAUAGCCACCGGAAACGGUGGGUAAUGCCGGAUACGCCCCUCCCCCGCAUGCGGAGGGGGGAAAGCCCAGACGGCGAGGGAUGGGCCCGCGGCCUGUUAGCUAGUUGGUGGGGUAACGGCCCACCAAGGCCAUUAUGGGUAGCUGGGUUGAGAGACCGACCAGCCAGAUUGGGACUGAGACACGGCCCAGACUCCUACGGGAGGCAGCAGUGGGGAAUCUUGCACAAUGGGCGAAAGCCUGAUUGCAGCGACGCCGCGUGCGGGACGAAGGCCUUCGGGUUGUAAACCGCUUUCAGCAGGGACGAGGCCGAAAGGUGACGGUACCUGCAGAAGAAGCCCCGGCUAACUACGUGCCAGCCGCCGC
rnacentral:rRNA from 1 species